CUUCUGGUUCAUGUAGUUGUUGUAGAGGGUCUCGACCUCCUGGAAGCGGUUGUCCACCUGCUCCUGGUACUGCUUGGCAAGGUCGUCCAGGUCGCUGAUGGCCUGGUUGUAGGCGUCGAUGGACUUGAAGAUCUUUUCGCUGUCCACGAUGAUGCAGUUCUGGGCUGCGAGGGUCCCGGCUGCCAGCAGGGCCGCCGCGAACAGAAUCAGUCGUUUCAUGGUUUGUCUCGUUUUGGUUCGCUCGGGAGGCGGCAACGGCCGCUUCCGUAUGUAAAUAUAACUCUUUUCUUCCAAUUUUAUUGCCAGCCGCGCAUCAGAACUGCUGUCCGAGCACGAAGUGGAACUGGCUGCCGCUCUUCGACGUGGAGUUGGCCGGGGCGUCGAAUCCGUAGCCCCAGUCGAUGCCGAGCAUGCCGACGACGGGCAGGUAGAGCCGCACGCCGAAGCCGGCCGAACGCUUGAUCUUGAAGGGCGAGAACUUCUUCCACGACUCGAAUGCGUUACCGCCUUCGAGGAAUCCCAGCACGUAGAUCGUCGACGAGGGCUUGAGAAUCACCGGGUAGCGCAGCUCGGCCGUGUACUUGUUGUAUCCGCGCGAGUAGUCGCUUGUCGGGUCGACUUCGGGGAAAGUAGAGACAGGUGGUGCAUGGUUGUCGUCAGCUCGUGUCGUGAGAUGUUGGGUUAAGUCCCGCAACGAGCGCAACCCUUAUGGUCAGUUACUACGCAAGAGGACUCUGGCCAGACUGCCGUUGACAAAACGGAGGAAGGUGGGGAUGACGUCAAAUCAUCAUGCCCUUUAUGACUUGGGCUACACACGUACUACAAUGGCGUUAAACAAAGAGAAGCAAGACCGCGAGGUGGAGCAAAACUCAGAAACAACGUCCCAGUUCGGACUGCAGGCUGCAACUCGCCUGCACGAAGUCGGAAUUGCUAGUAAUCGUGGAUCAGCAUGCCACGGUGAAUACGUUCCCGGGCCUUGUACACACCGCCCGUCACACCAUGAGAGCCGGGGGGACCCGAAGUCGGUAGUCUAACCGCAAGGAGGACGCCGCCGAAGGUAAAACUGGUGAUUGGGGUGAAGUCGUAACAAGGUAGCCGUAUCGGAAGGUGCGGCUG
rnacentral:rRNA from 1 species